AAGCCAACCGCCAUUGACGCCAUAUUUUUUUGGCAGAGGUUUUGCUUUUUGAGAAAGCAAAACGAAGAAGAGGCCAACAAAAAUCAGCAGAAAGAAAUUAAAAUACUGCAACCAGAUUUUUCCAAGAAACUGAACGAAUCAGAUCGUAUUGUAAGUAUUUUUGUUUUUCAAUUGAUUUUAAUUUUUUAAAUUGCAUUUUUAUUUUAAUGCAUGAUUUUUUGACAUGAAUCAUUUUAGCGGCCUUUAACAAUCGAAACUGAGCCUAAAACUAGGCAAGAUGUGGAGAUUGAAAAGGGCGAAUACAAUCUGAUUUUGAAGUAUUACAUGAGCUUCUGGAAGCCUUGAAGGACAAGCGAUUGAAAAAGCCCAAGGAAGACUAUACUUGUAUCUUCAUAUAUACUUGUCACAAUAUAACACAAAUUGGUCAAUAAAUCAACUCAAAUGAAUAUUUUUUAAUGCAUGGAGUUUAUCGUCCUUGAAACGCAUUCUUUCUCUAUAUAGCUUUUAUUAUUUUUUAUUUUAUUUUAAUGCAUUUAUUUAAUAUUAUUUAUUCUCGAGUUUCUUUAAGUUGUUGUUCAUUUGAAGAAUUAAAUUAUCAAAAUAAAAAUAUGUUAGUUUUUUGG